GGGAUUUUCUAUUUUUCCCUGACCAACGUCGAAAUUCCCUGACUUUUCCCUGACUUGAGACCGGAUUCCCUGACUUUUCCCUGAUUUCCAGUCCUGUUUUUUUUUCCCUGACCUGUAGCAUCCCUGUGAAAUAAAUCUUAAUUCUAACUCAAAAUGCAACUGAUUUCUGUUUAUGUGUACAGGAAAUUGCCUUUUCGCUAAUUGUUCCAAAUUGAUUGUUUAGUUACACAUGUUUUCCUCUAAAAAAACAAGGUGCUGAUGUUAUUGCCUUUCAGUUCCGAGUCUGUCAUUGGCGAAAUAUGUUUUAAAACCUCACAAUAAAACUGUAUAUCAACAAUGAAAUGUUUUAAAUUAAUAUUUUAAAUAAUAAUUUAUAGUGGUAAAUAAAUGAAGAGUAUUAGUAGCUUAGACAUUUAUUUAAAAUAAAUAUUAAAGACCAAACAUCUGUGUACACACAUUUAUAUAAUUAAUUAUAAAAUACUGUUAAUGUUGACAAAGUUAUCAUAAAUCGAUACAACAUUAAUUUUAAAAUCAUUUAACAGAUUUUACACCAAUUUGCAUCAAAAUGUAAAACAUUGUUAAAAAAAUAAUUUUCAGUUAAAGUAAUUGUUAUAAGUCUAAUGAUAUCACAAUAAAUACUGAAAAAAUGUUAUUCUAGAAAGAAAUCUGUAUGAAAUAAGAUUGUGUAAAUCUAUCUGCCGUAUACACCAAGUAUUAAACAAGUAAAGAGAAAACUUCACAUAACAAGGUUGUUAAGAUUUGGACCGUCAUUUGUUGUUAGUUCAAUUUACUUUUUGACAUGUAAAGAACAAUAGAUUGUGCUUUGUUUGGAGAAUGUAUUGAGAGCCAGAAAUAUAUUUAAAAUAACUAUGAAAUACAGCCUCGUACACAUGUAGCUUUUGUUGUGAAACGUUUAUCGGUAUUGGACGUUGAUAAUCUCCGGAAGAACUGCCUUGGGCUUUUGUGGUUUCAUUCUGUGGUGCCAUAAAAUUCUGUGGUCAAGUAAAA